rnacentral:rRNA from 1 species
AAUGAACGCUGGCGGCAUGCCUAACACAUGCAAGUCGAACGAAGGCUUCGGCCUUAGUGGCGCACGGGUGCGUAACGCGUGGGAAUCUGCCCUUGGGUUCGGAAUAACAGUUAGAAAUGACUGCUAAUACCGGAUGAUGUCGUAAGACCAAAGAUUUAUCGCCCAAGGAUGAGCCCGCGUAGGAUUAGCUAGUUGGUGGGGUAAAGGCCUACCAAGGCGACGAUCCUUAGCUGGUCUGAGAGGAUGAUCAGCCACACUGGGACUGAGACACGGCCCAGACUCCUACGGGAGGGAGCAGUGGGGAAUAUUGGACAAUGGGCGAAAGCCUGAUACAGCAAUGCCGCGUGAGUGAUGAAGGCCUUAGGGUUGUAAAGCUGUUUUAGCCGGGAUGAUAAUGACAGUACCGGGAGAAUAAGCACCGGCUAACUUCGUG